UGGGGAAUUUUGGACAAUGGGCGAAAGCCUGAUCCAGCAAUGCCGCGUGUGUGAAGAAGGCCUUCGGGUUGUAAAGCACUUUUGUCCGGAAAGAAAUCCUUGGCUCUAAUACAGUCGGGGGAUGACGGUACCGGAAGAAUAAGCACCGGCUAACUACGUGCCAGCAGCCGCGGUAAUACGUAGGGUGCAAGCGUUAAUCGGAAUUACUGGGCGUAAAGCGUGCGCAGGCGGUUUGCUAAGACCGAUGUGAAAUCCCCGGGCUCAACCUGGGAACUGCAUUGGUGACUGGCAGGCUAGAGUAUGGCAGAGGGGGGUAGAAUUCCACGUGUAGCAGUGAAAUGCGUAGAGAUGUGGAGGAAUACCGAUGGCGAAGGCAGCCCCCUGGGCCAAUACUGACGCUCAUGCACGAAAGCGUGGGGAGCAAAACAGGAUUAGAUACCCUGGUAGUCCACGCCCUAAACGAUGUCAACUAGUUGUUGGGGAUUCAUUUCCUUAGUAACGUAGCUAACGCGUGAAGUUGACCGCCUGGGGAGUACGGUCGCAAAGAUUAAAACUUAAAUGAAUUGACGGGGUCAUAGCUGUUUCCU
rnacentral:rRNA from 1 species